rfam:Gossypium hirsutum cultivar TM-1 chromosome 24, whole genome shotgun sequence
UAUUUAAAAUUUUAUCCGUUUAUACUAUUAAAAACUGGCGUGGCUGAUACAAUAACCAAACAGUGACAUGUGGCUUGCCACGUAUACCUUAUGCUGACAUACCGAGAUCAGUUUUUAACGGUAAACAUUGAUAGAAUUUUUAAUA